CCGAGUGAGGGUCCUCUCGGGCCCGACCUCCCAACCCAUUGAAGUUACCAACUCUGUUGCCUCGGGGGUGACCCGGCCGCCGCGUCGAGGCCCCCGAAGGACCACACCACUCUGCGUCUCUGCGUCGGAGUUUGAGGGAAAUGUCAAUUA
rnacentral:misc_RNA from 1 species